UACGAGUGCCUCAAGCGUUAUCCGGAAUUAUUGGGCGUAAAGGGUGUGUAGGCGGUUAUGUUAGUCCCGUGUUAAAACCUUCAGCUUAACUGAAGAUCUGCAUGGGAGACGGCAUAACUCGAGGAUGCGAGAGGUGAAUGGAACUCUAAGUGUAGGGGUGAAAUCCGUUGAUAUUUAGGGGAACACCAAAAGCGAAGGCAAUUCACUAGCGCACUCCUGACGCUGAAACACGAAAGCGUGGGUAGCGAAUGGA
rnacentral:rRNA from 1 species